rnacentral:rRNA from 1 species
UACGGAGGGUGCGAGCGUUGUCCGGAAUCACUGGGCGUAAAGGGCGCGUAGGCGGCAUGCCAAGCGUGUGGUGAAAGCCCGGGGCUCAACCCCGGGUCGGCCGUGCGGACUGGCGUGCUCGAGCACUGUAGGGGCGGGUGGAAUUCCGGGUGUAGCGGUGGAAUGCGUAGAUAUCGGGAGGAACACCAGUGGCGAAGGCGGCUUCCUGGACCGGUUCUGACACUGAGGAGCGAAAGCGUGGGGAGCGAUCCGG